ensembl:miRNA
CUAGCUGCCUGGAGCGGUUUCUCUUGGGUCCUUUCCUGGCUUGCGUCUGAGGCUUGGGGGUAAGGGAGGCGCCUCUGCCCUCAGCACUUCCCGUGAUGCUGCCUGGGCCCUGACCACUGUGCGUGGCACCUGGGU